UCUGCUGGUCUGAUGAAGGUCUCAUCCUGGAGAUCCCUGCACUUCCUGUGAGGACAGGAAGUGAUGUCCUUCUGCGCUGCAGACAGAGGAAUGGUGACACAGUCGCAGCUUAUUUCUUCAUCAAAGGAAGUUCUGUUGGUCAUAAACCAGAGCUCAUCAUCACUAACAUCACACAGGCUGAUGAAGGUCUCUACUCAUGUUCUACUGAUGAGGGUGGAAAGUCUCCUCAGAGCUCUCUGAGGGUCAGAGGUCAGAACACUGACAUCACUUCCUGUUUAAAAGCUGAUGUAACAUUGUGACCUGAUAAUAAACUGACUGAACCAUCUUCAUCAUCUCUCCUGCAGAUCCUCUCAAAAUCAUCCAUCCUCCUCCUCCUCACUGUCCUCCUCCUCCAAGCACCUCCACAAACUUUGCUCCUCCUGUAGAAACUGGUCUUACGUGUCCUCCCUGUUCUUCUCCUCCUCCUCCUUCUCUCGUGGUCCCAGUUGUAGCAGGUCUGGUCUCUGGGGUUCUCCUGGUUCUGGUUCUGGGUGGAGUUCGGUUCCUCUGCAGUAAACUAAAAGGAGGUGUGGGAGCAGACCUGUGGAGCUGUGGAGGUGACGGCUGUCUGAGACGGAGCGUCUGCCUCUGCUGUGAGUCUCCUUCAUGUUUCAUGUAUUAUCUGUGUUUCCACCACUGGAGGGCGCUGUGGGUUAUUGAAGUGUGGGAACAGUAACCAAUCACUGCAGUCUGAAUGCUUCUCUUUGGUCAUGUGACCAUUUGAUCUCUGAUCAGUGUGUUCUUCAGUUUCAGGCCUGUUUCUGCUGACUGCUGCAGGUGAGCUGAUGUUCCUACACCUGUCUGUCCUCAUCAUGACCUCUGACCUUUGGUGACCUCUGUCCUGUUGCAGGUGUGUGUGUGCUGCUGCUGUCUGCUCUGGCUGCAGGUGAGUAGAGGAUGAAGAACAAACACUAAUAAAUGAAGGAGGAGGGAGAAAAGUCCUCUGGAGGAAGAGCCACAGACAGAGUCCUCCUUCAUUACUGCUGCACUUAAAAUAUUGUUACCACACUCUGCUCCUGAAUCAGGAGGCUUUCUUUUUCUUUCUACCGUCUUGUCAGCUGUCAGCACUGCACAGUGUUUACCACCUUGGGCCAUUACUGUUUUCAUUGUAUCUCCUGCCACUGGGUGCGAUCUUUCGUAAACACAAAGUUUCAUUUCAUUUAUAUGCUGAUGAUUGCCAGCUCUAUUUUCCUUUCAGUCAUUCUGAUAGCUCUCCAAUUAGACUCCUG
rnacentral:lncRNA from 1 species